rnacentral:lncRNA from 1 species
AAAUUUUUGAAAAAGUUUUUAAUUUUUCCCAAUAUAUGCUGGGAGACAGGUAUUUUUAUAUUCAUAUGAUUACAAAUUUAAUUGUAAAUAGAUUUCUCAAAAAUAUUUAAAAGUCUCAUGUUCUCUCUUUUUCUUAGUAGCUUUAGCUUCAAAUCAUUAUAGUGAAUGGUCUAUGCAAUAUAGUCAUGCAGUCAGGAGAGUCUCUGAAUGCUGGUUGCUGAAUGUUUCUUUCCUCUGUAUGUUUUAGGAUAGCAAAUGGUCUCAGACUUCCUGGCUUACUGAAUUCAUACAUGCCUUUAUAUUUUACUCUCCCAGUUAACAAUUGCAUCAUUUUCAUAAAAGCCAAGACCAUGCUAAGAUCUUCAUUCACUAUAGAUUUACAAUGUUCCAUCAGCCUAUCAAGAAGAUUUUUUUUGUCACCCCAGUGCAUUUCUGUUCUUUGGAAAUUCCUGUUAUAAAGAGAAAUGGAAUAGACAUUCGUCUGAUGUGCACAAUCAUAAUUUUCCUUAUCAUUGCACAGGAGGCCAAAGAUUAAUAGGUUCCACUUUAUAGCCUGCUUUAAAUGUGAGCCCUUAAUAAUCUUAAUUCUUUUAUUAUCUAAAGAGAUGAUACUAUCAUAAAUGCUAUGCUUUCAAGGCAAUCUUUUCACUGUUUCUAUAUAUCAUGAUUCUGCCUUCUAUCAAACUUUACUUAAGUUCUUUUUAUAUAUUGCAAGGACAAGG